AUUGAACGCUGGCGGCAGGCCUAACACAUGCAAGUCGAGCGAGCGGCGGACGGGUGAGUAAUGUAUGGGGACUGCCUGAUAGAGGGGGAUAACUACUGGAAACGGUAGCUAAUACCGCAUACCAUCGGAUAGCCCAGAUGGGAUUAGCUAGUAGGUGAGGUAAUGGCCCACCUAGGCGACGAUCCCUAGCUGGUCUGAGAGGAUGAACAGCCACACUGGGAAUGAGACACGGUCCAGACUCCUACGGAGGCAGCAGUGGGAAAUAUUUCACAAUGGGCGCAAGCCUGAUGCAGCCAUGCCGCGGGUGUGAAGAAGGCCCUAGGGUUGUAAAGUACUUUCAGUCGGGAGGCGUUACCGGCAGAAGAAGCACCGGCUAACUCCGUGCCAGCAGCCGCGGUAAUUC
rnacentral:rRNA from 1 species